AUGUUCAUCUCUGAUUUCAACGAAGCUAGGAGGUAUAACAAGCUUUCCCAUUCUAGCAGCAUGAAGAAUUCCUGGUCUCUGGGGGACAUUGGGCAAAGUGACUACAUGUUUGGUGUGUCAGAUCUCCCCACCGCAGCCCAACAUGGACUCCCAGCGAGGGAUGCCGCCAUCCUCAGAUGCAAACAGCCGUUCGUCCCUUCUAUCUUAUCUCUCAGUCACUUUGUGUGUGAGCGCAUACACAUAUUAUUAAAUAUAAAUACAAACCCCAGGCACACAUUUUUAUCCUUAAGUAAUAAAAUCUAAUGGAAGAAUUUACAGUCAUGGGUUAUAAAGCAAUAAUAGUUGUAAAAUCAUUUAGCAGGGUUCAAAUACAGGUGAAAGGAGAAGUUCAGAAGUUCAGCAUUUAAAUACGUUUCCUGGCAGUUUCCGAUGACAAACAGCAAAUCCCCUAUUGACAUGGUGCCGGUAAUGAAAGCCCAGAACUGUUCUCAAUCUGCUCUGCUUGUAUUUUUGAGAUCAUGGCUUGUUCAGUUUUAUUACAUUUCAUGUGCACUUUCUAGAGGUCAAGUUAUUCGGUGGAGUAGUUGUGAGGGCUGCCUAAAAAGGUCACUGAAUAGGAAACAAGAAUCCAGAUUUCUGUGUGCUGCCUGUCCAGCCCUGUGAGGAGGGAAUCAACUUUCUAUGUGAAACAUGGCACCCAUGGCUCAAUGCAGAUUGUACUGGUGUCACCUGAAGGGAAAUGGGUGCUGCUAGCAGGACUGGGCACUAUUUUUAUUGGCACUUAAUGCCACUCCAAGGAGACUUAGAAGUUAUCAUUAAAAUGCUUAUGUGCAUAUAUGUGUAUAUUGCUUAUACUACUGUUUCUGCUAUUUCUAGCAAUUAGUAAUUUCUAGCAACUACAGCUUACGAGCCAUUUUCAAUUGGGCAAUGGCUUUGCUAAAUGUCUUUACCACAACAAAGCAGAAAAUGCUUGCUCAGCCCUUAACAGCUUGAGCCUGUCUCCUUGUGCCUCUGUUGCUUAUGGGCUUAAGGAGCAGAAGAAUGAAAGCAAAUAAAAUCAAGGUCUCAGAAAUCA
rnacentral:lncRNA from 1 species